rnacentral:rRNA from 1 species
UACAGAGGGGGCAAGCGUUAUUCGGAAUUAUUGGGCGUAAAGGGCGCGUAGGCGGUCGUGCAAGUGGAAGGUGAAAUCCCUCGGCUUAACCGGGGAACUGCGUCUGAUACUGGAUGGCUAGAGUUUGGGAGAGGGAUGCGGAAUUCCAGGUGUAGCGGUGAAAUGCGUAGAGAUGUGGAGGAACACCGAUGGCGAAGGCAGCCCCCUGGGUCAAGAUUGACGCUCAUGCACGAAAGCGUGGGGAGCAAACAGG